GGAUCCUAUAUAUCAUCUUUACCAGACCACCAUAUCUCAUAACCUCACUUUUCACAAACCCUACAUACCAUUUCCUAAAUCUGCUUCUUCGUUUUUCAGAGAUUCAUCGUCCUUAGAUGAGAUUCAUAAGGACGACAAUGUUUUGAUGCUUUCUUCAUCUUCAUGGUUUGCUUGUGGUCUUUCGUAUCCGUCAAAACCCUAAUCGACCGGAGAAAUCGUCAAAAGUUCUUCACAAUAUGAUCGUUCCACAUAAUUUGCAGAUAUGCAUCCCUUGCACAACAGUCCUUCAUUUUUAAAGCUUAUUGAUGAAGAUGACCCGAUAUUUUUGGUGAAGAACUUCUUUCAGACUCCUUCCCCUACAAGGAACUAUUGAAUGAGUUCCUAUGAGAAGUUGAAGAAAAGUUAUGGAUAAUGAAAACAACGCUCCUUCGUUAUUAAAGUCGAUUGAGGACUAUGAACCUAUAUUUUUCGAAUUGUUCGUCGACCAAAAACAGGUGUUUAUUUUGGAUGGUCCGGAGUUUUUGGCUGCAACUAUGUUGGACAAAGAUAUGCUUGCUAUUGCUGUAAAUUGGUACCAUGUCGGUUGGUUUUGCUUGGUAAGAUUUGUGACGAUGCGUCGGACAAACAACAUUGGGAAAAUAUACAGCCUUGAGCCUUGAUGACCAAUGUAUAUCUCUAUUUGAGGAAUUUUCCAAAGAUCCAGAGCCGAUUGUUUCAUAGAGCUGUGAAGUUGCGUUAAACAUACUGGAUUUUGAACGAUCCGACAAACCAUUCGAGGUACUUGGAAGAUUAAGUCUCUUAUCUGGGUGGUUGUUAGAGGUUUAGGAUGUUAAAUGAUUUUGGAUGUACUCUGCGAUGUCGAUGAUGCAGAGAUGUUGGUGAAGCUCAGGUUAACAACUUCAUGUGUAUAUUUUAAUGAAUAAAGUUUUUGUUGUUUAUAUUUUC